UAGUAGAUCACUAAUCCAUUGUCAUUAACAUUGCAAAGUAUAACAAGUAAUUCAUUGUGUUCAAAUUGAAUUAUAUGGGUUAGAAGAUGGACCUGCAUAAGAUGUCAUUUCCAUCCUCAUACUUCUUAGCAUGGUCUGCAAAGUGUAACCUUCUUCAGUAGAGACCAGCCAUAAACACACCCCUUUACAGCAGCAAGAUUUCCAGUCCAGUAGUCAUUCUAUAGGGACUGCUGGAGUUGACCUUCUAAAGCUACCAGGUAACAUUAUAACACAUCUCUUCUAUCCAGUCAGCAGAACAGUGGGUCUGAUGGACCAGGUUUCCCGGUCAGGGGUUGGCAGUGAUGUCACAUACGAGACCGCCUCCAUGGGGGAGUACAGGUGGAGCUCUGAGGAACAUGAGAUGUCCGACCCUCAGGGCCAGUGUCUGGCCGCCCCCCAAGCCCUGCCGGCCCCCACCUACAAACAGAGGGUUGAGGAGUUCAAGAAGCUGUUCAGAGAACUGCCUGAGUCGGAGAGACUCAUCAUGGGUGAGUUACGUGUCUGUGUGUGAGAGAGAGAGAAAUGGAGAAAGAGAGAUGGGGAGAGAGAGGCCCCAUCCAGAAAUUGACCCUAAUAAUAUUUAUAAUAAUAAUAAUUUAUUAUUAUUAUUAUAAUUAUUAUCUCUCAAAAACAAAACAUUGGCACCUCUCUCACCUGCAUAUACCAGCACACCUGUGCUGUACUUACCUGUGUCAAGGUGCGUUCCGUGUCUUUCCCCAGACUAUACCUGUGCCCUCCAGAGAGACAUCCUACUGCAGGGACGCCUCUACCUGUCAGAGAACUGGCUCUGUUUCUAUAGCAACGUGUUUCGGGGGACAAAGGUGAGCUCACACAUGGGGAAGAGAUGGAAAAUAGGAGUUUUCUGUCUUGGGGAUGAAUUAUUCAGAUCGUGAUAUGCUGUAAAUGUGUGUAUGUAUUGCAUUAUUCUGGUCGUGUUAAAUGUGGUCAGUGUUCUCUGGUUUUAGAGGGUGAUAUACUGUAUUUAGAGUGUUGGGCCAAUGCGGCUUCUCUCUGAACGUUCAUAGAGUGCCACUUUCUCCUCAAUAGCCGUUGCUAAGUGAUAAUUAAAGCUUCCACGUUGUGCUGUUUACUGCUGAUAGUUUUCAGUGAAAGCAGAUGUGCAAUUUGUUGACUUGGAUACACAUUAUCCCCAAUGCUAAUCAAUAAAAAUGUCUGUUCUGUUUUGCUUGAUUACAGCGGGUCAUUUCAUAGGGAACUGUCAGAGGCGCUCUCGUAUUGUUACAUCACAAACAUGUAGAGAAUAAAGGUGCCAACAUGGCAGCUGUUCAAAAAGGGCAGAACUCUCUUUAUAUAUGGCUCUGGUUGUAGAUAGCCUUGACUCUGGAAGUCAUCACUAUGCUCUCUGGUUAUAGAUAGCCUUGACUCUGGAGGUCAUCACUGUGCUAUAUUGUCGUAGAUAGCCUUGACUCUGGAGGUCAUCACUGUGCUAUAUUGUCGUAGAUAGCCUUGACUCUGGAGGUCAUCACUGUGCUAUAUUGUCGUAGAUAGCCUUGCCUCUGGAGGUCAUCACUGUGCUAUAUUGUCGUAGAUAGCCUUGCCUCUGGAGGUCAUCACUGUGCUAUAUUGUCGUAGAUAGCCUUGACUCUGGAGGUCAUCACUGUGCUAUAUUGUCGUAGAUAGCCUUGACUCUGGAGGUCAUCACUGUGCUAUAUUGUCGUAGAUAGCCUUGACUCUGGAGGUCAUCACUGUGCUAUAUUGUCGUAGAUAGCCUUGACUCUGGAGGUCAUCACUGUGCUAUAUUGUCGUAGAUAGCCUUGACUCUGGAGGUCAUCACUGUGCUAUAUUGUCGUAGAUAGCCUUGCCUCUGGAGGUCAUCACUGUGCUAUAUUGUCGUAGAUAGCCUUGACUCUGGAAGUCAUCACUGUGCUAUAUUGUCGUAGAUAGCCUUGACUCUGGAGGUCAUCACUGUGCUAUAUUGUCGUAGAUAGCCUUGCCUCUGGAGGUCAUCACUGUGCUAUAUUGUCGUAGAUAGCCUUGACUCUGGAGGUCAUCACUGUGCUAUAUUGUCGUAGAUAGCCUUGACUCUGAGGGACAUCAAGGCCAUGUACAGAGAGAAGACAGCACGGAUGAUCCCCAAUGCCAUUCAGAUCUGCACAGACUCAGAGAAGGUACAGUAUAGUCACUCAAACACCACCUGGGUUCUGAUAUCCCUGGACAGUUGCACCAACGCCCUGGACCAGAGCUAAGAGACCCUGUGCUUUUCAUUGUUUAACCCCUCAGGGGUAGGUCUACAGCUGCAGCACUGACAAAAUAACAUGUUACUCAUCCCUUCUGUCUGUCCUAAAUGCAAACCAAUGGAUGGUUAUCACUGCAAUAAUAUUAACAAGCUUCUGUCGCUCUCUUCCCUACAGUUGUUCUUCACUUCCUUCUCAGCCAGAGAGAAGAGUUACCAGGGAGUGUUCCGGAUGUGGCAGAACACUCUGAUGGACAAGGUGAGGCACAGUUCAGCGACUUCAUAACCUCACCUCACUCACUGGGGUUGCAUCCCAAAUGCCACCCUAUUCCCCAUAAAGUGCGCAACUUGUUUAUAUUUACAUUUUUUUAUUGAACCUUUAUUUCAGUUAAGAACAAAUUCUUAUUUAGAAUGUUGGCCUACCAAAAGACAAAAGACCUCCUGCGGGGAUGGGGGCUGGGAUUAAAGAAGGGCAUUUCUAUGACAAGGAUAUUUAUAUGAACAGUAGGAGUUACGCUAAGCACAGAUCUAGGAUCGUCUUCCCCUCACUCAAUCUUACUCUUGCUAAUAAGGAAAUAAUAGGACAAUAGUAUGGUAAUAAGCUAAACUGGGGAGAUUCUCAAUUGGUUUGCUCUACUCCUCCGUCCUCCCCUCCUUUUGAAAAAGGUCAAAGGUAACCAAGGAGAGGAAAUGUGGAAACAAAUGCACUUGUAUGAAAUGACUAUCCUUCACUUGCGCAUCAUCAUGCAAAUGAUGUUUACAGAGGUGGAGUACCUAAUGAAAUGUGUAGGUUAGUAAAAAGACUUGUGACUUUUUAUAUAUAUCAUUUUUUUUUUUCUCCCCAAUUUCGUGGUAUCCAAUUGGUAGUUACAGUCUUGUCUCAUCGCUGCAACUCCCGUACGGACUCGGGAGAGGUGAAGGUCGAGAGCCGUGCAUCCUCCGAAACACGACCCAACCAAGCCGCACUGCUUCUUGACACAAUGCCCACUUAACCCGGAAGCCAGCCGCACCAAUGUGUCAGAGGAAACACCCGUACACCUGGCGACCGUGUCAGCAUGCACUGUGCCCGGCCCGCCAUAGGAGUCGCUAGUGCGCGAUGAGACAAGGAUAUCCCUGCCGGCCAAACCCUCCCCUAACCUGGACGACGCUGGGCCAAUUGUGUGCCUCCCGGUCACGGCCGGCUGAGACAGAGCCUGGGCUCGAACCCAGAAUCUCUAGUGGCACAGCUAGCACUGCGCCACUCGGGAGGCCUAGUUGGGACAUUUUAUAGAUAAAAAGAUAGCAUAAAAAGUAGCAUAUUGUUUUUAAAUAUGUGCAUGCUUUUCUCCUCCGAGUAAACAGCUGAUAUAAAGGGGUUGUGGCGGAUCUCUAAACUCUUCCGCAAAGGACUCCGGUAGAAUACUCCUGUGCUUCCUCAGCGGGAGGAAGCCAUCGAGGUGGCGAGGACACGCCUCCAUUCGCCUACUAACUAAUUGACACUCUCCUCGACCACUUAUUGGUUUCCAGGUCAUGAAGGAGAGAGGACGGAGGAGUCAAAGAAAGGACGGUAUUUUGCCCAAAUGAGAAUAUCUCAUCGAAUGGCUCUGGGAGAAUCUUUAUUGUAUACUCCUCGCGUCCCCUCUCCUCACCCCCUUCUCAAAACCCAUUGGAUGGAAAAGCCAGAGGUCCCAAACCCACUGACUUUCUCCUCCAAUGGGUGUUGAGGAGGCGUGGAGAGAGGACCUGAGGAGUAUGUAAUUGAGAUUCUCCCACUGAUCCAGUUGCAUGGACGCCAACUACUAGAUAACCAGGUAGUAUCCAUGGUGAUCAUAGCUCUAGUCUGUCAUUUCAUGCUACCUGUCCAGAUUCUUAUGUAGUAUGCAAGGCUUCUGUGACUUUACCCUGGCUGACUGUUCUUAUCUGAUCAGUCCUGGGUGAACACCAUGCCCCCCAGACUGGCCCCAUGUCCCUAAACGAGGUUACCAUGGCAUUCAGUUCUUAUGUUGUAUACAAGGGGAAGUGGCAGGCUGAAUAUUCAUAAUGUUUUGUUUCUUAUAACGUACUAGCUCUUUUGAUAGCAAAGUUGAGAUAAAAGUAAAACAUAUUAGGACCUAGAAUAAAUGCAAUUUAUAGGGGCAACUAGUGCAAUAUGGAAAACUGUGGACCAAGGGAAUGAAGCUGUCAACAACAACCCGACAAUAACACUGGUGUGGCUCGGGAGUUAGCGAAUGAAGGUAAGGUUCAAUGACCCCUCAAAGGUGUGGCUAGCAAGGUUAAUUUGCAUAAGACACACGCCCUGCCCCCGAGAAAGCGCUGUCGUUUCGUUACCUCGCCAUUCUUCAGGGCAACAGAUCUGAUUUCCGUUGCCACUGAACGUUCACGAGCUUGGCAUCUAAUAGAGCUUUUAUCGAAGCUAUCUAUCUUUCUAUAAAUGGGCGGAGCGCUCUUGUUCCUAUUGUUGGGCAAAGCGCCUAACUUCCUGAUUGCUUUGUGACGGCGCACAGGUUAUAGUUCAGUCCAGCUGCCAGGCAGGUAUACGUAACAACUGUUGGGAAAGAGCGAAAUAGCUACAAAGUAAGUAAAACAACUUUAAAAUUGACUUUUUUACUUGAUUGGCAGCAAGUGGCAGAUGUUGAUCUAAAUUAUGAUUAGCUGUGCACAGUUUGGAUUAGGCUAAAGAAACCGUGGUUCCAUAUGGCCGCUUUCUUGACUUGAUUCUGUUGCAUGGGAAAUAAUAUUAAAUUGUUUUCUUUUGACUCGUAAGUGAUCAACGAUUGUUCAAUCUCUCAAAUGAUUUUUUAUGUAAUCUACAUUUCCUUAUUACUCACCCCUUUCCCCCAUUCACGUAUUUUUUAAAUAACUUGUUGGGUCUUUUUUUUGGGGGGGGGGGGGGCGCAUCAUGGUGUCCAUAAACAUUAUGCUUUGUAGCUAUUAGUCAAUAGCUACAGUGUACAAUUUCACUAUGAGCAUGGUACCAGCAAUAUUUUUGUCAGUUCUUUAUAAAAUUGUAUUUUUAAAAAAAUGGUCUAGUCAUAAUUGAAUUCCAAUCAAAGGUGGAGCUAAAUGUAAUCCACACUGCAUGUAUUGUUUUUAAUCCCGUGACAUCAGUGUGGUAGAGUAAGGAGCAGGUUAGGGCUGUUUUGUUUCAUUGAAACUAGGACACUGGAGGUGGUGUGAGAUUCAUGCACAGGUGGAAGAUAGUUAUCAUGUUACAGGAAACCAGAUAGAGUAAUUCAUCCUAUAAUUUUUUAUUUUGAUUGAGCUUUCGCACGUUAUAACCUACAAAAAGCUGAUUGGUGGUGACACUACCAGGAAAGCAGUUGCUUUUCCAUGAUAACAGAAAUCUAUUCAAGUGCCACUGUUUGCUGUGUACCAAG
rnacentral:lncRNA from 8 species